rnacentral:lncRNA from 1 species
UGCAUCAGUGGUUACGGUCGUGCGGUGCGCGCAGCGCGGUGUUCAAGUGUUGAAGCCCCAGGUUUUAUCGCCGUUGGCACUGCGAGCCGCUUCGAGAAAGAGUGCGGAGCUGACAGCGAUUACACAUGCUGUAGUCGCGCUUCGGGGGACCAUACGUCCAGUGAGGACCGUGAGACCUUCGGUCACGUGAGAAAGGCCGCCCGAGAUUUGGAUUGAUCCUGGAUCCUCUUCUGUAGCGUCUGCUUCUAUGGUACCGCCGACCGAAACCUUUUCCAAGGCAGACGGUGAGAGUAAUGUACAGUACGCUACAAGGGCAACAUGAGAGACUCGGGAACAGAAAAA